GUGAUCGUAGCUCAGUUGGCUUAGAGCAUUCCCCUUUUAAGGGAAGGGUCGUGGGUUCGAACCCCACCGGUCACA
rnacentral:tRNA from 1 species